AUUACGCAAUUUAUAUUUGUACUGUAUAUAUUUAAAUGUCAUAAUUAUAACCACCCUAAAAAAUGUAUAAUUAUGGCCAUGUUAGUCGUGCUAUGCUUGUCUAUUGAUGACUGAUAAAUCUGCCCAUAGUGAAUAUAAUUCGUAUAUACGCCACUGUGAGGGAGCGUAAAUAUAUACCUAAUGCGUAUAUUAUAUGUGUAUGUUUAUUGAAUCAACCCACAUUCAGUACGGUCCACCAUUUAUUAGUUAUCCCGUGUUUUUAUUUAAGUCUGAAUAUUAUAUAUUACAAAUUGCACACAAAUUUAUUUUGCACUGCGUACCCACAGUGCUUAUUAUAAGUUGAAUAUCAUAUAAACGUCAUUGACGGUUUUUGCUUAAUGUUAAUGAUUGUUAUAUAAUAUGAAAUGUAUUAAGUUUACAAUAUUGUUAUGUAUGUUAUAUAUUAUGAUUUGUUACGUGUAACACAUGUACAAGUGGAUAGAUAUGUAUAUAAUUUAAUUAGUUUUACAAUUAUUAUUUUAAUAUUUAGUUUAAAUAGUUGUAUCGUAUACCUUUGGGAGAUAAUUAUAUAAUAUUAAGUAUCCGAUUCAUGUAGGUAUAAGUGACCAAAGUCGAUACAUAAAAGCUUUAAUUUUUGGUAGUUUUUUUUUUUGUAGUGACUUAUGGCUAAAGUUAAAGAAAUUAAUGUAGACAUGUAGUAACUAGUACUAUAGUUAAUUAAAAAUAGGUAAAUAUUAUAUUUUAUUUGGUAUUGCCUAUAUGCUGUUACAGAGGUGAUAUAUUUGUUAUUGUUAAUUUUUACAAUAUAAGGUAUAACGUAAUACAUAAUAUACUUAUAUAAAAUAUUAAUAAGUAUGAUAUUCCGUUAUGAUUCAUAAUUAAAUAUAGUUCAAUAUGUUAUUAAAAGCUUACUGUGGUUUUUAAAUAAUAAAAUGUAUUAAUUUCUAAUGUGGUGAAUGUUUUUGGUAAAAUAAAAUAAAAUAAGUAUAUUAUUGUAAGAUGUAAUAUUACAUCUAGUUGAUUAAGUUUUAUUUAAAGGUCGAUGUCUAAUAUGUUUAUAAAAUUAAGAAUAAUCAAAAAGAUUUAAUGAUUUCAUUUUUUGUUUAAUAUUUUUAUGAUAUUUUGAAUUUAAAUAUAUUGUAGUCAUUUGUAAAGGUUUAAUAAAAUAGUAAUUCUAGUUGUGUG